AGAACGAACGCUGGCGGCGCGCUUAACACAUGCAAGUCGGACGCUCCCUUCGGGGGGAGUGGCGGACGGGUGAGUAACGCGUGGGAACCUGCCCUGGAGUUCGGGACAACCGCGGGAAACUGCGGCUAACACCGGAUACGCCCUUAGGGGGAAAGUUUACGCUCUGGGAUGGGCCCGCGUCGGAUUAGCUUGUUGGUGGGGUAACGGCCUACCAAGGCAUCGAUCCGUAGCUGGUCUGAGAGGAUGGCCAGCCACACUGGGACUGAGACACGGCCCAGACUCCUACGGGAGGCAGCAGUGGGGAAUCUUGGACAAUGGGCGCAAGCCUGAUCCAGCGACGCCGCGUGGGUGACGAAGGCCUUCGGGUUGUAAAGCCCUUUUCUCGGGGGCGAUGAUGACGGUACCCGAGGAAUAAGCACCGGCUAACUCCGUGCCAGCAGCCGC
rnacentral:rRNA from 1 species